AGUGAACGCUGGCGGUAGGCCUAACACAUGCAAGUCGAACGGCAGCACAGUAAGAGCUUGCUCUUACGGGUGGCGAGUGGCGGACGGGUGAGGAAUACAUCGGAAUCUACUUUUUCGUGGGGGAUAACGAAGGGAAACUUACGCUAAUACCGCAUACGACCUACGGGUGAAAGCAGGGGAUCUUCGGACCUUGCGCGAUUGAAUGAGCCGAUGUCGGAUUAGCUAGUUGGCGGGGUAAAGGCCCACCAAGGCGACGAUCCGUAGCCGGUCUGAGAGGAUGAUCAGCCACACUGGAACUGAGACACGGUCCAGCCUCCUACGGGAGGCAGCAGUGGGGAAUAUUGGACAAUGGGCGCAAGCCUGAUCCAGCCAUACCGCGUGGGUGAAGAAGGCCUUCGGGUUGUAAAGCCCUUUUGUUGGGAAAGAAAAGCAGCAGGUUAAUACCCCGCUGUUCUGACGGUACCCAAAGAAUAAGCACCGGCUAACUUCGUG
rnacentral:rRNA from 1 species